rnacentral:rRNA from 1 species
AGGGCGCACGGUGGAUGCCUUGGCACUAGAAGCCGAUGAAGGACGUUACUAACGACGAUAUGCUUUGGGGAGCUGUAAGUAAGCUUUGAUCCAGAGAUUUCCGAAUGGGGAAACCCAGCAUGAGUUAUGUCAUGUUAUCGAUAUGUGAAUACAUAGCAUAUCAGAAGGCACACCCGGAGAACUGAAACAUCUUAGUACCCGGAGGAAGAGAAAGAAAAUUCGAUUCCCUUAGUAGCGGCGAGCGAAAUGGGAAGAGCCCAAACCAACAAGCUUGCUUGUUGGGGUUGUAGGACACUCUAUACGGAGUUACAAAGGACGACAUUAGACGAAUCAUCUGGAAAGAUGAAUCAAAGAAGGUAAUAAUCCUGUAGUCGAAAAUGUUGUCUCUCUUGAGUGGAUCCUGAGUACGACGGAGCACGUGAAAUUCCGUCGGAAUCUGGGAGGACCAUCUCCUAAGGCUAAAUACUCUCUAGUGACCGAUAGUGAACCAGUACCGUGAGGGAAAGGUGAAAAGCACCCCGGAAGGGGAGUGAAAUAGAACCUGAAACCGUGUGCUUACAAGUAGUCAGAGCCCGUUAAUGGGUGAUGGCGUGCCUUUUGUAGAAUGAACCGGCGAGUUACGAUUUGAUGCAAGGUUAAGCAGUAAAUGUGGAGCCGUAGCGAAAGCGAGUCUGAAUAGGGCGUUUAGUAUUUGGUCGUAGACCCGAAACCAGGUGAUCUACCCUUGGUCAGGUUGAAGUUCAGGUAACACUGAAUGGAGGACCGAACCGACUUACGUUGAAAAGUGAGCGGAUGAACUGAGGGUAGCGGAGAAAUUCCAAUCGAACCUGGAGAUAGCUGGUUCUCUCCGAAAUAGCUUUAGGGCUAGCCUCAAGUGAUGAUUAUUGGAGGUAGAGCACUGUUUGGACGAGGGGCCCCUCUCGGGUUACCGAAUUCAGACAAACUCCGAAUGCCAAUUAAUUUAACUUGGGAGUCAGAACAUGGGUGAUAAGGUCCGUGUUCGAAAGGGAAACAGCCCAGACCACCAGCUAAGGUCCCAAAAUAUAUGUUAAGUGGAAAAAGGAUGUGGCGUUGCCCAGACAACUAGGAUGUUGGCUUAGAAGCAGCCAUCAUUUAAAGAGUGCGUAAUAGCUCACUAGUCGAGUGACACUGCGCCGAAAAUGUACCGGGGCUAAACAUAUUACCGAAGCUGUGGAUUGUCCUUUGGACAAUGGUAGGAGAGCGUUCUAAGGGCGUUGAAGCAUGAUCGUAAGGACAUGUGGAGCGCUUAGAAGUGAGAAUGCCGGUGUGAGUAGCGAAAGACGGGUGAGAAUCCCGUCCACCGAUUGACUAAGGUUUCCAGAGGAAGGCUCGUCCGCUCUGGGUUAGUCGGGUCCUAAGCUGAGGCCGACAGGCGUAGGCGAUGGAUAACAGGUUGAUAUUCCUGUACCACCUAUAAUCGUUUUAAUCGAUGGGGGGACGCAGUAGGAUAGGCGAAGCGUGCGAUUGGAUUGCACGUCUAAGCAGUAAGGCUGAGUAUUAGGCAAAUCCGGUACUCGUUAAGGCUGAGCUGUGAUGGGGAGAAGACAUUGUGUCUUCGAGUCGUUGAUUUCACACUGCCGAGAAAAGCCUCUAGAUAGAAAAUAGGUGCCCGUACCGCAAACCGACACAGGUAGUCAAGAUGAGAAUUCUAAGGUGAGCGAGCGAACUCUCGUUAAGGAACUCGGCAAAAUGACCCCGUAACUUCGGGAGAAGGGGUGCUCUUUAGGGUUAACGCCCAGAAGAGCCGCAGUGAAUAGGCCCAAGCGACUGUUUAUCAAAAACACAGGUCUCUGCUAAACCGUAAGGUGAUGUAUAGGGGCUGACGCCUGCCCGGUGCUGGAAGGUUAAGAGGAGUGGUUAGCUUCUGCGAAGCUACGAAUCGAAGCCCCAGUAAACGGCGGCCGUAACUAUAACGGUCCUAAGGUAGCGAAAUUCCUUGUCGGGUAAGUUCCGACCCGCACGAAAGGCGUAACGAUUUGGGCACUGUCUCAACGAGAGACUCGGUGAAAUCAUAGUACCUGUGAAGAUGCAGGUUACCCGCGACAGGACGGAAAGACCCCGUGGAGCUUUACUGUAGCCUGGUAUUGAAAUUCGGCACAGCUUGUACAGGAUAGGUAGGAGCCUUUGAAACGUGAGCGCUAGCUUACGUGGAGGCGCUGGUGGGAUACUACCCUAGCUGUGUUGGCUUUCUAACCCGCACCACUUAUCGUGGUGGGAGACAGUGUCAGGCGGGCAGUUUGACUGGGGCGGUCGCCUCCUAAAAGGUAACGGAGGCGCUCAAAGGUUCCCUCAGAAUGGUUGGAAAUCAUUCAUAGAGUGUAAAGGCAUAAGGGAGCUUGACUGCGAGACCUACAAGUCGAGCAGGGUCGAAAGACGGACUUAGUGAUCCGGUGGUUCCGCAUGGAAGGGCCAUCGCUCAACGGAUAAAAGCUACCCCGGGGAUAACAGGCUUAUCUCCCCCAAGAGUUCACAUCGACGGGGAGGUUUGGCACCUCGAUGUCGGCUCAUCGCAUCCUGGGGCUGUAGUCGGUCCCAAGGGUUGGGCUGUUCGCCCAUUAAAGCGGUACGCGAGCUGGGUUCAGAACGUCGUGAGACAGUU